GUGUUCACUCGGCAGCACAUGUACUAAAACUGCAAUGAUUCAGAGAAGAUUGGAGUGGUCCCUGCACAAGGAUGACACACAAAUUCAUGAAGCGUUCAAACUUCAA
rnacentral:snRNA from 1 species